AUCUGAACUUAGAUGGGA
rnacentral:rRNA from 1 species